rnacentral:rRNA from 1 species
UACAGAGGUCUCAAGCGUUGUUCGGAUUCAUUGGGCGUAAAGGGUGCGUAGGCGGCUUGUCGCGUCGUCCGUGAAAACUUGGGGCUCAACCCCAAGCUUGCGGUCGAUACUGGGCGGCUAGAGUCUGGUAGGGGGAUCUGGAAUUCCUGGUGUAGCGGUGGAAUGCGCAGAUAUCAGGAGGAACACCGGUGGCGAAGGCGGGAUCCUGGGCCAGUACUGACGCUGAGGAGCGAAAGCGUGGGGAGCAAACAGG